rnacentral:rRNA from 1 species
UACGGGGGGGGGCAAGCGUUGUUCGGAAUUACUGGGCGUAAAGGGCUCGUAGGCGGCCAACUAAGUCGGACGUGAAAUCCCCAGGCUCAACCUGGGAACUGCGUCUGAUACUGGAAGGCUUGAAUCCGGGAGAGGGAUGUGGAAUUCCAGGUGUAGCGGUGAAAUGCGUAGAUAUCUGGAGGAACACCGGUGGCGAAGGCGACAUCCUGGACCGGUAUUGACGCUGAGGCGCGAAAGCCAGGGGAGCAAACGGG